rnacentral:rRNA from 1 species
UACGUAGGGUGCAAGCGUUUGUCCGGAAUUAUUGGGCGUAAAGAGCUUGUAGGCGGUUUGUCGCGUCUGCUGUGAAAUUUCGGGGCUCAACCCCGAACUUGCAGUGGGUACGGGCAGACUAGAGUGUGGUAGGGGAGACUGGAAUUCCUGGUGUAGCGGUGAAAUGCGCAGAUAUCAGGAGGAACACCGAUGGCGAAGGCAGGUCUCUGGGCAUUAACUGACGCUGAGGAGCGAAAGCAUGGGGAGCGAACAGG